GAUGAACGCUGGCGGCGUACUUAACACAUGCAAGUCGAACGGUGAAGGCGGAGCUUGCUCUGCUGGAUCAGUGGCGAACGGGUGAGUAACACGUGAGCAAUCUGCCCCUGACUCUGGGAUAAGCGCUGGAAACGGCGUCUAAUACUGGAUACGAGCUGCGAAGGCAUCUUCAGCAGCUGGAAAGAAUUUCGGUCAGGGAUGAGCUCGCGGCCUAUCAGCUUGUUGGUGAGGUAACGGCUCACCAAGGCGUCGACGGGUAGCCGGCCUGAGAGGGUGACCGGCCACACUGGGACUGAGACACGGCCCAGACUCCUACGGGAGGCAGCAGUGGGGAAUAUUGCACAAUGGGCGAAAGCCUGAUGCAGCAACGCCGCGUGAGGGACGACGGCCUUCGGGUUGUAAACCUCUUUUAGCAGGGAAGAAGCGAAAGUGACGGUACCUGCAGAAAAAGCGCCGGCUAACUACGUG
rnacentral:rRNA from 1 species